rnacentral:rRNA from 1 species
GACAGAGGGUGCAAACGUUGUUCGGAAUUACUGGGCGUAAAGCGCAUGUAGGCGGCCACGCAGGUCGGAUGUGAAAUCCCUCGGCUCAACCAAGGAAGUGCAUUCGAAACCGCAUGGCUGGAGUCCCGGAGAGGGUGGCGGAAUUCUCGGUGUAGAGGUGAAAUUCGUAGAUAUCGAGAGGAACACCGGCGGCGAAAGCGGCCACCUGGACGAAGACUGACGCUGAGAUGCGAAAGCGUGGGGAGCAAACAGG